GCGGAUUGUUAACAUCAACCAAAGCCCUAAAAGUGAUUCUGGCAGCAAAUGAGCGCGUCUCUGAGAAGCAGGUGAAGAGCCCAGGACUCAGCUGGACACAUUGGCAGCUGCAGGCCUGAGAAGACCCCACCGGGCAGGAUGCCCCCGGCUGUCCCCCAGGGACCCCAGCUUUGAAGGUAACCCACCAGUUUCAGCCAGAUGUGCAGCCCCCUCGGAGCAAGUGGUUAAACAACCGCUUUGAAGAUGAAGCGCCCUCAGGGCACGCUAAGUAGCUUUAUUAUCUCGUGGAGAGGGUGUCACUCUGCGGAGGCACCAGCUCCCAGCUCUCUCACCGUUAGGGAGUUAGUGAGAGGCAAAGUCAGCCGGAAAUGCAGAGUGCCAAAAAAGAGGAGAGAAUAAAAUGCUAGGGGUGGGAGGAAGGGGACGGGUGGGUGCCUGGGCUUUGAAAUCCUGCCAUGGAAAGUUCUCUCCCAUGGAUCCCCUUCCAGCCUGCCCGAGUGCAGCAACUGGACGUGGCAUGUGACAGGCGCUGCAGACGGAUCGCGUUUCACACAUGCAGCUGUAAGAUCUGGCACACAGGUGUUUGCUUCUGUGUUUGCCAGCUGCUCUGCAGCGCCCGGCUACAAUGGAAUAGGGGUCGGGGGGAGGGGAACCCUCACACUUGUUGCUGCCAGAAGGGAGGAGGGAGCUGGAGAUUCCUGCCCCUGGCCAAGAGCUCAGCAUUUGACUCAGGGCUGGGGCGGCCCUGAUGCCUGCUUUAGAGGGUCCUGGGGCCUCUUCUCAUGGGCUCACCCAGGACCCAGCUGUGGCUGGUGGAAGGGUGGGCAGUGUGGUUGGUAAACCUCCAAGCAAGCUGGCCAGGGCCCCAGGAAGCCUGUUCGGGAGGUAGAGCGCCUGGGAUAGGAGGCCACUGGGUUCUUGAGUCAGGGUCCUACUUCACCUCUGAAAACGGUGAACCCUCAGCCAGCUUUCUUCCCCUCUCUGGUCUGAGUUUCCUGAUCUACGAAGUGGAGUCGGGAACCCUCCUCUGUGAGGACUCCAUGAAGCACUCAGGGAAGCAGCGUUCCUUUUGUCGUUUCCACCUGGGGAAGGUGGGGCGGGGAGGGACCCAUCAGGCUCCUGGACCACAUCCCUGGGCCCUGUAUUCAAGGCUGCCCCAGCUGUUCUGGGUCUCAGGCUCAGAUAUCACCAGGGCUGAGGAACAGGUCAUUGGUUUCCUGCUCCUUUCCCUCCUCGGGAGGAAGAGGACUGGCCGUUCAGGAUACCGAAGUCACCCGAAGAAAGGUGGAAGCAGGGGAGCCUGGGAUUGGACCCCCAACCUGCGCCUGCUGGAAGCCCCUCCCCUUCCCUUCUUAGCACCUGCCAGGUGCAGUGUCUCUGCAGCUGUGACUGUCAUAUGGAGGCUUUCUCCCACAGUGGACUCUCUGGAGGCCAUGGACUGUCUGCUUUGCCCAUCACUCUGUCCCCAGCCCGUUGUCUGCACGAGAUAAGGAAACUGAGGAUCGGACAUAGGAAAACUCUCCAACAUCAUAGAGCUGGUACACGGCAGAACUGGGAUUCAAAGCUGGUCUGUAGGAAUCCUAAGCCUUUUCUCUUGCUGUGCCAUUCAGAAUGGGGAUGAGCAAAUAGCCACAGGCUCAGGGCCUGCAUCCUUUCUCUCCAGGUAACAGUGCCCUCUUGGGCCAGAAUGCCAUUCGUUUGUUCAAUCAUUCAUCCAACAAGUAGGCACUGGGUACCUUCUGUGUACCAGGCCCCGUUCUAGUAGCUGGAGAGACACUGUAUUGUCAGGGUCUCCCCUUCUAAAAGUUUAUAACACAGCACAGAGGCAAAGCCUAAAUGGGUAAGCACCCAAUUUAACUAGUUGGUUGGUUAUAAUGGUACUAAGUACCAUGAGGUACUAUAUGAAGUACUAAGUACUAUAAAGUACUAUAAUGGUACUAAGUACCAUGAGGUACUAUAUGAAGUACUAAGUACUAUAAAGUACUAUAAUGGUUCUAAGUAGUAUGCUGUGUUGGGAGAAGCUUGUCUGGGGAAAUCAAGGCAGGCUUCCCUGAGGAAGGGACAGUAUUUCCACCUUUGCUGUCAACCAGGCUAGUGUCUUAAAGAGUAGUAUCUCCAGGGAAGGACAGUGUCCCAGCAGACAGGGGGAGGAGUGCCCACACUGUCCCAUUUCAGACAGACUUUGGCUGAUCAGGCAUCACCCACGUCUUCGUGUUCAGCUCUGAAAGGAUUACAAACAUGUUUAAAAAUACCCAAGGGAGGAGAACCCCGGGUCAGAACAGGACCCGUGAUACUCUGGCACUCACUGACCCACGGGCAGACACUGCUUCUGUUUGGGACUGUAUUUUUCCUGGUGCGUGAGGGAUAGUCCUGGUGACCCUCACUGCAGCCGCUUCCCCAGGAAUGGAAAAUCACUUGCUGAAAACAUAAGCAGAGCAUAUAAUAAUUGGCAGGACACAGGCAGCUUAUCACCAUUCUCUCUCCUCCUGCCCUUCCUCCGAUCCUGUUUUGGAGACCUAUUUUCUGUUUUCUACCACAUGCUUGCUUUUCUCCUGAAAACAUACAGAGCAGCUCUCAGAAGUUCUCUACUUAAUCCAGGUGGAAUCUCCCUGUGGGCAUAGAUGGCAGCCCAGGCAGGCCUCGGUCAGGGGUCUGCAGAGCCCCUGCGGUGAUGAGACAGGCCACAGAGAAGGCAGAGGAUAAGCCCAGGUGCCUCCAGCCCCUCCCUCCUUCCCUGAGGACUUUGGUUUCUGAUGGGUAGAAUGAACCCCCGCGUGGGUCCCUCCUCCGUCACCCUAACAAACCUGCAAAGCUUCCUUUCCUGUUGCCUUUGGAAACUUCUUCCACAGUUGUUCCAGGAAAGCUGGACAUCGAUCUCUAUUGAUUUUUGUUCCUUCCAAGAUAUGAGCUGGCCAGAGGGGCACACGAGAUGCUUAGCCCACCCUUCCUACUAACAAGGUGUUUCGGGCACUCAGCUGCGUAAAGGGAAACAGUGAGAUAUUUUCUACAAAAUCCCAGAAAGGAGCCGUGGCUUCCAAUCUUGUCCUUACUCAGCCGGGCACGCAGCUGAGCCUGGCACACGGAGGUCGAUACGCACUCUCGCCAGACCACUCUAGGAUCUCUAGGGCUCAGGAAAAUGAACGCCACUCCUUCCCACAGAGCGCGUUAUGGAGUCUUGACUUCCAAGCCGCCAAUUCUCCGAUGAAUCACUGUUCAGCCCCUGGAAAGAAACAAAGAGACCCUGGUUGGGAGGUGGGCUCUCAGCAGCUGGAAGGGCAUGCAGUGAGCUCAGCUGACUUACACUGUCGCACACGAUGCUGCUUUACCUGGUUGGAAAACACAUGGUGACUCCACUGGCUUGUUGUGCCCACAUACUGAAAAGCAGCCCGUGCAGCUGUUUUGUGUGCCAGUGCCCCGACUUGAGUAGGUGUUUACAGCCUUAGAGCACUUUCCUUUUCUUUCUGGCAUGGAUAUUAUCCACUCUUCAAUCUUUAGCAAUCUGUGUACCCUUGAAGCGUCAACAUCCAUAUCUAUAAAUUGGGGUUUUCUCUGAAGAUCAGCGAGUUAGCAGAUGUGUCGACUUUCAAAUGGAAAGGCGUCAAGACUGCAUGUUCCAGCAGCUUUAUUUUAUUUUAUUCUUAUUUCUUUGUUGCCCACGGUCUGCUCACUUUUCCCCCAGCAGUUAUAUUGUCACUGACUCCAGUUUCCUUGGGACCAUUUCUCCAUAACUCAAGGGCUUGCUUUCUUCUUGGUGACUCUGCAGAUGAGG
ensembl:lncRNA